rnacentral:rRNA from 1 species
GACGAACGCUGGCGGCGUGCUUAACACAUGCAAGUCGAACGGAAAGGCCCUGCUUUUGUGGGGUGCUCGAGUGGCGAACGGGUGAGUAACACGUGAGUAACCUGCCCUUGACUUUGGGAUAACUUCAGGAAACUGGGGCUAAUACCGGAUAGGAGCUCCUGCUGCAUGGGGGGGGUUGGAAAGUUUCGGCGGUUGGGGAUGGACUCGCGGCUUAUCAGCUUGUUGGUGGGGUAGUGGCUUACCAAGGCUUUGACGGGUAGCCGGCCUGUGAGGGUGACCGGCCACAUUGGGACUGAGAUACGGCCCAGACUCCUACGGGAGGCAGCAGUGGGGAAUAUUGCACAAUGGGCGGAAGCCUGAUGCAGCAACGCCGCGUGCGGGAUGACGGCCUUCGGGUGGUAAACCGCUUUCGCCUGUGACGAAGCGUGAGUGACGGUAAUGGGUAAAGAAGCACCGGCUAACUACGUG